GGCCAGAUAGCUCAGUUGGUAGAGCAAAGGAUUGAAGAUCCUUGUGUCGCUGGUUCGAUUCCAGCUCUGGCCACCA
rnacentral:tRNA from 1 species